rnacentral:lncRNA from 1 species
GGAGGGGGGGAGGAGGAGGAAGGGGCAGGGGGUCCACAUUGCAGAGGCGAGAAACCGGUGGCUCACAGCUUCUGGCUCAUUUGUGUUAGAAAGUGGAUAAUAACCAGGAUUUGGACCAAGCCGGCCUCUUUCCGCUUCCCCUCAUUCUGCGGUUCCUUCCCUGUGCCCCGCCUCCCGGUCUCAUUCAGGCUCACGCAUCCUUGCCCUCCCCCAGGUUAUCCUAGUGCCCGGCUGGCCAAUACCCGUGGCCAGUGUGUCCUUGUCUAAAUCCUCCCUCUGUCACCACCAGCAGCGAUUCCGUCUUGAGACCUUCAAGCAAUCAAGCGCAUUGCCCUGGCCCCGCCUCGCACCUCCUCGGCCUGAUGCUUCCCCACAACCUGACCACUUCCCUCCAGCUCCCACACCAGCCCUCCUUCUCGGGAGAUCAUGCCAUCUUUGCCCCACAGGCAACUCUCCUGCCGGUCGGUCAGGCACUGGUCCCAGACUCUAGACGGAGCUUGCAGAACCUUCUUGGCCUCUGGAGUGCCCUGAGCAGGAAGGACGGGGCCCUUACUGAGGGGUCUGAACCUCUGCCCCCACGCCCCCCUCCAACCAGAGCAGGGAAUUUUCCUGCUCCGUUUACUGACAACUUGCUAACCUCCCCGGGACCUCUUCUGGUGCUGCCUCCCUCUCGGCUUGGUCCUUGGGUAACAGAGCAGCUACCCUGUUGCCCCCUUUCCUGACUGUAAACAGAGAGAAUGACAGCCCUGCCUGCAGGAGCCCUGAGAAGCAAGGAAUCAGAGCUCGACAGCUGGAGUCUCUUGGGAAGGACAGGCCGAGGCGGCUGGCCUGGGUUCUUGUGUUGUUCCCCCUUGUGGAGCUCGCAGUCUCUUGGAGGUUCCAGCACGUCCUGGGCAAGAGUUCUGAGCGAGCCGAGGACCAUGUCCGUCUCUGACUGUGCUGAUCCGCUGCAAGAGCCCUGGAGUCAGCGCGCUGGCUCCCAGCCCCUCUCUCCAGCUCCUGCUCGGCCACCGUCUGGACCACCACUGCCCAUAGCUAGACGUAGGUUUUCUAUUCCAAAGAGGUGAACCAGAGAGACCUGGCAUGCCCUUGGCGCCAGGGGCAGCUGGGACUCUGAAGGCAUGAAGCCGAGAUAAAGCUGGAACUCUAAGCAUGGGGUGGACUGAACAGGAGGUGUGUGUUCCUGUGAGUGGGUCGCUCUUGGGGUUCAAGGAACAAGAUCUGGACUUUGGGUAAAACUCACUGGCAAAGUAAGCCAACCACCACGAGGAAAGACGACUGGGGUAGGUUUGGGGUUUGACUGAUAGAUUGUGGGGAGCAGCUCUCCAUCCACUGGAGAAGCGGCCCCAAGGACGGUGGCGAGGGUGGCCCGCCCGGCUGGGGCUGGUGGGGUGGAUGCCCUCGCUCGGCUGGAAUGUAAUCCAGGACAAUCUGGGUGACCCCUGGCUCUCAUCCACCUGUUUCUUUGUCAUGUGGUUCUAUCUUUUUCCUGGAGAUUUUCUUGAGUUUUAUCUUGCAGGUGUUCUGUUGAAAUGUUUAUUUCAGUACUUGUGUGUUGUUGCCAGUCUUUUAAUUGUUCAUACACUUAGUUUUUGCACUAUUUCUUUUUUCUUUUUACGUUCCCUUUAUUUUAUUUUGGAAUCUUAAAGUGUUAUGCAUUUUUUCUUCUCUUUUUACGGCCACACCUGUGGCAUAUGGGAAUUCCCAGGGGUCAAAUCGGAG